UACGGAGGGAGCUAGCGUUGUUCGGAAAUACUGGGCGUAAAGCGCACGUAGGCGGCGCAGCAAGUCAGGGGUGAAAUCCCGGGGCUCAACCCCGGAACUGCCCUUGAAACUGCAGUGCUAGAAUCUUGGAGAGGCGAGUGGAAUUCCGAGUGUAGAGGUGAAAUUCGUAGAUAUUCGGAAGAACACCAGUGGCGAAGGCGACUUACUGGACAUCUGUUGACGCUGAGGUGCGAAAGCGUGGGGAGCAAACAGG
rnacentral:rRNA from 1 species